ACGAAUAUCCUCGUCACUCACACCGCUCGUACUUGCCCCGUGCCGCGGUCUAACCAUGAUAUCUCUGAAAUACAACAUAAAACUAUCAGAGAUUCUACCGAGUAUAAUCGUACUCGACACGCAACCCUACUCAGUCCCAGAUAUCCAGGGAUUCUUACUUGGGCCUCCCACUGACCCGGUGUCCUCGGUAGUACGGGCCCAAUACUACCGACCACACCGCAUCAAUGUUCAUCCCAAGUCCUCCUCCCCAAACUCCGGAUAGUGAGUACUCUACUUCUGAUACGCUCUAUCUACCCGCAUACUAGCAAAGCAUCUCAUAUAGGCAACUUCCCUAGACUAAGGCAUCACAAAUCAGGCCACUCUAGUCCUAUCAUGAAUACCUAGUCUUCUAGCAUGCAUAACAAUUCAUAUCAUAUAAUAUUGUAAGGUAUUUUGGGGAUCUUUACCGUUCGGGCGCUGACUGAUCGUACACACUGCUUCUUUCUUGCUUACCACAAAACCAUUUACAAAAGUUUAUGCCUUUAUUUGAAAAGUUUCCUCAAAUCCUCGGUUUGAGUUCAGUUACCCCCGAAGGUGCACCCGAAUCCCUCAAACCAAGGCUCUGAUACCAAUUGUAACAACUCAAAUUUUUCAAACAAAUUUUUCAUUUUUAAAACAUAAUUGUUUCCAUUAAAAACAAGGCAUAAAUAGUUUAAUUAUUCGGUCAAUACAAUUAUUCAAACUCCCAAGAUCAUAAAACAAUCUUCAGUGUGUAUCGAUCAUGCCGGCGCCUUCCCACGGUCCUCGCUAGUACCUGAAAUACAUGCACAACAACUGUAAGCAUAAAUGCUUAGUGAGUUCCCCAAUAUACACUUACACACAUACGCCUUUCCAGGCCCUGACCUUCCGGUCCUCAAUACAACGCCUUCCGGCCCAUAACAUAAUCGCCUUCCGGCCCAUAACAUAUUGCCUUCCGGCCCACAUAUCAUACAUAGCACAUAUAACAAUUAACUUACCACAUAUAGCAUACAUAUCACAUAACAUAUCCGACCUUCCGGUCACACAGUCAAACCCUUCCGGGUACAGUAUAGUGAGAAGACUCACCUCGUAAAUGCUGAAAGCUAGCAACUCCUGAAAUCACUCGCGCACAAACCAACGAGCUACAACCCUCCUAUAACAUUACAUAACUCAUUAACACUCAUAUCUUCUAAGUGUGACUAUCCCUAAGAAGUCAGACUUAGGUCAACUCUGGUCAACGGUCAACGGUCAACUCGACUGGACUCGGCGAGUACCAUGGCGACUCGGCGAGUCUAGUCGUCCUCACAAAUUCCUGAAUAUUCCCUUUCUACUCGUCGAGUAUCCCUCUUGACUCGACGAGGUCCUCGUGGAAGAAUCGCGGGGCCACCCCGACUCCACUCGCCGAGUCUGAAGAACAACUCGGCGAGUCCCAGUAAAUCUUCAAGCUACUCGCCGAGUCUGAAGAACAACUCGGCGAGUCCAUGCCAUGCAGACGAGCAACUGCUUCCUGAAUUACGUAUGGUCCCGAGAUAUACAACCAUGGGACUUUCUGGACUUCUAAACAUCUCAUUACUGGGGUAUAAACGUUUGGGUAAUAACAUAAUAACCCAUCUAAUCACUAAAUGGGUUUCAUAAACCCUAAACUCACAUACACAUCAAAAUAACAGAUUUGGUCCGAGUAUUACCUGAAAACGCACUCUCUGUGUCCCCCAAAUCUCAGGACUCAAUCCUCCUUGAUAUUCCUUUAGCCAAAUCCCUCUUCUUCUUGCCUAACCAAUUCUUCCAAGUUCCAAAGCUUUCUCCCUUGCUCUAGGCGUCCACAGCGAUUAGGGUUUCUCUCAAUUGACCAAAAGACUGAAAAUGACGGCCUAAGAGGCGUUAAAUACGAUCCAAACUGAACGGUUAGGGUUUCUGCUGAACAGCGUCGACUCGCCGAGUCCAUAUCUGGACUCGUCGAGUCCAGUCGCGGACCCGCGACCAAGUCUGCGAUCCUACUCGGCGAGUCUAGGCUCCAACUCGCCGAGUCCCCUCUUAAAUCACCCCAAAAACAUAAUUUUAAUAAUACCUGAGAUUCCGGGCUGUUACAACUCUCCCCCACUUGGAUUAGACUUCGCCCUCGAAGUCUCACUCUGCAAAUAGUUCCGGAUGCUGCUCCCGCAUUUCGCGCUCCGGUUCCCAAGUCAUUUCUGAUCCCUUACGGUGUUGCCAUUGAACCAACACCAGAGGUACCUCCUUGUUCCUCAGAACCUUGAUCUUCCGAUCCCUGAUAGCCACUGGUCUCUCCGCGUAAUUCAGGCUCGCAUCCACCUGAAUAUCCUCCAAUGGAACCACUGCCGACUCAUCGGCUAUGCACUUCCUCAACUGCGACACAUGAAAAGUGUCAUGGAUCUGACCCAACUCCGCUGGCAACUCCAACCGAUAGGCUACCCGACCUAUCCUUGCAAUCACACGAAAUGGCCCAAUAUACCGGGGCCCCAACUUGCCCCUCUUCCUGAAUCGAAUCACUCCUUUCCAAGGAGAGACCUUCAGGAGAACGAAGUCGCCGACCUGAAAUUCAAGCUCGGAUCGGCGCCUGUCUGCAUAACUCUUCUGUCGGCUCUGGGCAGUCAAUAACCUUUGUCUCACUCGCUGAAUCUGCUCUGUCGUCUGGAGCACGAUCUCCGUGCUGCCCAUCACUCUCUGUCCCACCUCUCCCCAGCAAAUGGGGGUCCGACACCUCCUACCAUACAACAGCUCGAAAGGUGGCAUACCAAUGCUCGAAUGAUGGCUGUUGUUGUAGGAAAACUCUGCCAAUGGUAAAUACGCAUCCCAACUACCCCCGAAGUCUAACACACACGCUCGGAGCAUGUCCUCCAGCGUCUGAAUUGUCCGCUCGCUCUGACCGUCUGUCUGGGGAUGGUAUGCGGUACUAAAAUGCAAUUUAGUACCCAGCUCCUCAUGGAAUUUCUUCCAGAAUCUGGAAGUAAAGCGCACAUCACGGUCUGACACAAUCGAGAUCGGCACCCCGUGCCGAGAUACCACCUCUCUCACGUAUAUCUCCGCCAAUUUCUCCGCCGAAGAACUCUCACUGAUGGCAAGGAAGUGUGCACUCUUUGUCAACCUAUCCACGAUCACCCAAAUUGCGUCAACUCCCCUAGCAGUCCUCGGCAAUUUGGUGAUAAAAUCCAUAGUGAUCUGUUCCCACUUCCACUCGGGGAUCUCCAAUGGCUGUAACUUGCCAUGCGGUCUCUGGUGCUCAGCCUUAACCCUACGGCAGGUCAAGCACCUCUCAACGAACCAUGCCACGUCCCUCUUCAUACAGGGCCACCAAUAUUCCUUCCUUAAAUCCAAAUACAUCUUUGUAGCACCGGGAUGGAUCGAGAAUUUCGAUCUAUGAGCCUCUUCCAUCAACGUAAUACGCGUACCGCCCACGAACGGUACCCAAAUCCGACCCUGAAACGUCAUAAGGCCUCGACUAUCCUUGACAAACUCUGAGAUUAACCCCACAACCCGCUCUUUCUUCUGCAUUUCUGGUCGCACAGCCUCUGCCUGGGCCCCACGAAUAGCGUCCAAUACUGGAGUCAUCACAGUCAGUCUCAAGCAUACAUCUCGCAAUGGAGUGCUCUCCGCCCUGCGGCUCAAUGCAUCGGCUACCACAUUAGCCUUGCCUGGGUGGUACAGGAUCUCACAAUCAUAAUCCUUGACCACAUCCAACCACCUCCUCUGACGCAUAUUUAGGUUGGGUUGAUCCAUCAAAUACUUCAAACUCUUAUGGUCCGUGUAUAUCGUACAUCGAACCCCAUACAAGUAGUGACGCCAAAUCUUGAGAGCGAACACUACUGCCCCCAACUCUAAAUCAUGCGUGGGAUAUCUCGCCUCAUGAGGCUUCAGCUGCCUCGACGCAUAAGCUAUCACAUGACCCCUCUGCAUCAACACUGCACCCAAUCCCGAAAUCGAUGCGUCGCAAUAUACCACGAAAUCUUCCAUCCCUUCUGGGAGAGCUAAUACCGGGGCUUCGCACAAUCUCUGGCGAAGUGUCUCAAAGGAGGUCUGCUGCUCGGGCCCCCAUGAGAAUGUAACACCCUUCCGGGUCAAUCUGGUGAGUGGCACUGCGAUCUUGGAGAAAUCCUUGAUAAAUCUCCGAUAAUACCCUGCCAACCCAAGGAAACUUCUGAUCUCAGAGGGUGACUUCGGCACCUCCCAACUCAUCACCGCCUCAACCUUGGCCGGAUCGACCAAUAUCCCUUUCUGAUUAACCACAUGUCCUAGAAACUGGACCUCCCGCAACCAGAAGUCACAUUUGGAGAACUUUGCAUAAAGCUUCUCCGACCUCAAUACCUCAAGGACCUCCCUCAAAUGCUCCUCAUGCUGCUCUCUAGAUCUCGAAUACACCAGAAUGUCGUCGAUAAAUACGAUCACUGACCGAUCCAACAUCGGCCUGCAUACCCUGUUCAUGAGAUCCAUGAACACAGCCGGGGCAUUGGUGAGUCCAAAAGGCAUCACCACAAACUCAUAAUGCCCAUAUCGCGUCCUAAACGCUGUCUUCUGGACGUCUUCAUCCCGUACUCUCACCUGAUGGUAUCCUGACCUCAGAUCGAUCUUGGAAAACCAAGAUGCUCCCUGCAACUGAUCGAAUAAAUCAUCGAUCCUCGGCAACGGGUAACGGUUCUUGACCGUUAGCUUGUUCAACUCCCGGUAAUCAAUGCACAUCCGGUGUGAACCAUCCUUCUUCUUGACGAACAGAAUAGGUGCUCCCCAUGGCGAGCUGCUCGGCCGAAUGAAUCCCUUUCCCAGCAACUCCUGGAGUUGCGAGGACAACUCUUGCAUCUCUGGAGGUGCAAGACGAUAGGGCACUUUAGCAAUAGGCGCGGCCCCCGGAACCAGAUCGAUACCAAACUCUACUUGCCUCACAGGAGGUACUCCCGGCAGUUCCUCGGGAAAAACAUCUGAAAACUCACGCACCACAGGGACCUCCUUAACUGACUUCGGUCUCUCGGAAACCUCCCGCGUAUCCAUCACAUACGCCACAAAACCCUUACAGCCCUGCUGUAGACACUGCCUCGCCCUAGCGGCCGAACAAAAAGCUGAUCCUGAACGGGUACCCUCACCGUACACCGAAAGAACUCCCCCACUAUGGUCUCGUAUGGUCACCAACUGACGCUCGCAGUCGAUGACAGCGCCGAAUCGGCUCAACCAGUCCAUGCCCACGAUAACACAGACAUCCCCCAUCGCAAUAGGAAUCAGGUCAAUCGGGAAUUCAACCCCGAAAAUCUCUAGUACACAUCCCCGAAGAACCUCCGUAGCACGAAUCACUUUCUCGUCAGCUAUAGAAACUCUCAAAGGUCGACUCAACGACUCACGACUAACGCCGAUCUGCUGACUAAAGGCUAAGGACACAAAGGACCUACUCGCACCCGAGUCAAAUAACACUAAGGCAGGCACAGAGUUCACAAGGAAAGUACCUACGCGCAUAAUAACAUAAGCAUAACAUAUCGACAUUAAAAUAAAUACAUGAAUUACAACAUACCUGCCACAACAUCGGGCGCAGCGCGGACCUCCUCCGCAGUCAGCUGAAAGGCUCUCCCACGAGCCCUCGGGGCCUCGACCUUCACCGGUCGAGUCUCAGUAGUCCUGGCAACAGGUGCAGAUCCCUGACGAAGCUGCGGACACUCGGCCUUCCGAUGGCCGGUCUGGUUGCAAUGGAAGCAAACCAUAAACCCCUUGGGGCACUCCCUAGCAAUGUGCCCCUCCUUGCCGCACUUGUAGCAAGCACCGGCUCGACACGCCCCAUCGUGACCCUUGCCGCACUUUACGCAAGUGCGGUUCUUCGAACCUCCCGUCCUCGAAUCGGCGGACUUGAUCCGCUUGGCUGCCGGCUGAGACUGAGCCGGUCGCCGGUCUGCCUGCUGAGACUCGGCCUCCUCCCUGGCCUGAGUCUCUAACUCGAUCUCACGCUUCCUGGCAUUCGCCUGAAGCUCAGUAAAAGUAUGGUAAGUGGAGUUUGACACAAACUCCCGGAUCUCCCUCCUCAGAACACCCAAGUACCGGCUCAUCCGAGCCUGCUCUGUGGCCACCAGCUCGGGGCAAAACAUCGCCCUCUCAUGGAACUUCCGCGUGAUCGCCGCCACCGAAUCAGUACCCUGCUUGAGGGUUAAGAACUCCUGAACCAAUCGUUCCCGCUCCACCGGGGGAACGUACUCAUCCCUGAACAUGGUAGUGAACCCCUCCCAUGUCACUGCCGCAGUCUCUGCUAAAGUGAAGUUCGCCGUCACGAACUUCCACCAGUCCUUGGCUCCCAGACGGAGCUGGUUCAAAGCGAACCGUACCCUCAGGUGCUCCGGGCAUGAACAAGUGUAGAAGCACCCCUCUAUAUCUGCGAUCCACCUCAUCGCAGCAAUCGGAUCCUGCGUCCCAUCGAACUCUGGUGGCUUCGUGUUGCUGAACUCUCGGAACAGCAAUGAAUCACCCCCCUGUGGCCUAGCAGCGGCCACAGCUGCGGUAGCUGCAGCGGUUGCAGCCUCAGUCAAUGCGGCGUACCGCUCGUCGAACGUCUCCAUCAGAGUGGUCUUGAUAGACCCAAACAUCUCCGGGAUCUCAGCCCGGAUCGCCGCCGCCACCUCCUCGUGGAUCAUCUGACGAAUAUCCUCGUCACUCACACCGCUCGUACUCGCCCCGUGCCGCGGUCUAACCAUGAUAUCUCUGAAAUACAACAUAAAACUAUCAGAGAUUCUACCGAGCAUAAUCGUACUCGACACGCAACCCUACUCAGACCCAGAUAUCCAGGGAUUCUUACUUGGGCCUCCCACUGACCCGGUGUCCUCGGUAGUACGGGCCCAAUACUACCGACCACACCGCAUCAAUGUUCAUCCCAAGUCCUCCUCCCCAAACUCCAGAUAGUGAGUACUCUACUUCUGAUACGCUCUCUUUACCCGCAUACUAGCAAAGCAUCUCAUAUAAGCAACUUCCCUAGACUAAGGCAUCACAAAUCAGGCCACUCUAGUCCUAUCAUGAAUACCUAGUCUUCUAGCAUGCAUAACAAUUCAUAUCAUAUAAUAUCGUAAGGUAUUUUGGGGAUCUUUUACCGUUCGGGCGCUGACUGAUCGUACACACUGCUUCUUUCUUGCUUACUACAAAACCAUUUACAAAAUUUAUGCCUUUAUUUGAAAAGUUUCCUCAAAUCCUCGGUUUGAGUUCAGUUACCCCCGAAGGUGCACCCGAAUCCCUCAAACCAAGGCUCUGAUACCAUUUGUAACAACUCAAAUUUUUCAAACAAAUUUUUCAUUUUGAAAACAUAAUAUUUUCCAUUAAAAUUAAGGCAUAAAAAGUAUGAUUAUUCAGUCAAUACAAUUAUUCAACUCCCAAGAUCCUAAAACAAUCUUCAGUGUGUAUCGAUCAUGCCGGCGCCUUCCCACGGUCCUCGCUAGUACCUGAAAUACAUACAUACACAACAACUGUAAGCAUAAAUGCUUAGUGAGUUCCCCAAUAUACACUUACACACAUACGCCUUUCCAGGCCCUGACCUUCUGGUCCUCAUUACAACGCCUUCCGGCCCAUAACAUAAUCGCCUUCCGGCCCGUAACAUAUUGCCUUCCGGCCCACAUAUCAUACAUAGCACAUAUAAUACUUAACUUACCACAUACAGCAUACAUAUCCAUAUAACACUUAGCUUACCACAUAUAGCAUACAUAUCACAUAACAUAAUCGACCUUCCGGUCACACAAUCAAACUCUUCCGGGUACAGUAUAGUGAGAAGACUCACCUCGAAAAUGCUGAAAGCUAGCAACUCCUGAAAUCACUCGCGCACAACCAACGAGCUACAACCCUCCUAUAACAUUACAUAACUCAUUAACACUCAUAAC
rnacentral:lncRNA from 1 species